CCUACGGGGGGCAGCAGUGGGGAAUAUUGGACAAUGGGGGCAACCCUGAUCCAGCCAUGCCGCGUGUGUGAAGAAGGCCCUCGGGUUGUAAAGCACUUUCAGUGAGGAAGAACGCCUGGUGGUUAAUACCCAUCAGGAAAGACAUCACUCACAGAAGAAGCACCGGCUAACUCCGUGCCAGCAGCCGCGGGAAUACGGAGGGUGCGAGCGUUAAUCGGAAUUACUGGGCGUAAAGCGCGCGUAGGUGGCUUGAUAAGCCGGUUGUGAAAGCCCCGGGCUCAACCUGGGAACGGCAUCCGGAACUGUCAAGCUAGAGUGCAGGAGAGGAAGGUAGAAUUCCCGGUGUAGCGGUGAAAUGCGUAGAGAUCGGGAGGAAUACCAGUGGCGAAGGCGGCCUUCUGGACUGACACUGACACUGAGGUGCGAAAGCGUGGGUAGCAAACAGGAUUAGAUACCCCUGUAGUC
rnacentral:rRNA from 1 species